rnacentral:rRNA from 1 species
CAGUCGCCACGGUAAUACGGAGGGUGCAAGCGUUACUCGGAAUCACUGGGCGUAAAGGACGCGUAGGCGGAUUAUCAAGUCUCUUGUGAAAUCUAACGGCUUAACCGUUAAACUGCUUGGGAAACUGAUAAUCUAGAGUAAGGGAGAGGCAGAUGGAAUUCUUGGUGUAGGGGUAAAAUCCGUAGAUAUCAAGAAGAAUACCUAUUGCGAAGGCGAUCUGCUGGAACUUAACUGACGCUAAUGCGUAAAAGCGUGGGGAGCAAACAGGAUUAGAUACCCGCGUAGUCCCUGUCUCUUAUAU